AUGUUGUGCUUUAUUCUCACACCUUCUGUAUACCCAUCUUUUUCUUUAUUAAAGAAACUUCACAUCGGCCACGUAGGAUCACAGACAAGCUGAGUGACCAACCUUCUCCGCUUAUUUGUUACAACAUCAAAAGGCAUCGGGAUCAGUUUGGAGUAUCACAGAUACAGAUAAAAAGAAUGAUCUGCAGGCAAAUAUUUUCCUUUGGCGUCCGGUGCCAUGGCUCCAGGCUGUGAUCGCGCUCUCUGCACCUUGAAGAUUUGCAUCUUCAAAGGGACUUCAAAGAGGAGGUGAGUGGCUCGGUGAGGAGGUGCUAACAGUCUCACUGAAGCUGCAGCUGGAUGGCAGCAGACAGACUGGAGACAAGGCUGGAUGACAGGGGGAAGAGGCCAAAAGCUGUUUACAAGUUCAGCCACAGAGAGCUGCAAAUGAGAUCUACAACAUCAGCUGAUGAGUGCUGGAGUUAGGCUUACAGUAUAUCACUUUCAGGGAAGUCAUUUCAACUGCUCUAAAUGUAGAAAUAGCCUUUGGGGUUGGACAAAAUAAAACAAUCAGUGUUUGUGUACAGUUAUGAAACUUACAGAGGUCACAUAUGGUAGUAGGGUAGUUUAAUAACUCCAGUUUCGUCAAUAGUGGAAAGUAACUAAGUAGACUUACUAACUAAGUUUUGUGUAUAAUCUUGAGGUACUUGUACUGACUAUUUCCAUUUCAUGCCAUUUUAUACUUCUAACCCACUACAUCGCUGAGGAAAAUAUUGUACAUUUAACUCAACUGCACUUAUGUGACAGAUAAAGCCACUGGCUACUUUACAGGUUCAACUUUUGCGUGAACAUUAAAUUAAACCUGAGAUUCCAAAUCUUUUUGGCUUGUGAGCCUCAUAAGCAAUGUUACGUUUCCCCUUUAAACUUCUCAGAUAGUUUCAUUUAAAUAACAGUUUGAGGCACCGUGAAAAAUAUUUCACAAAAUUCUAAACAACUGUAUGUAAAGCUCCACCUUGAGCAGCUACAACAAUAAAAUGCUAGUUAUGCAUCAUAAUAUCAUAUAUAAUAAAACAUCACAGGGGCCACUAUCCUGCCGAACGACUACUUUUGGUGGUUUGAGUACAUUUUGUUGGUAAUACAAUGCAAAUUUGAACUUUUACUCGUAAUGGGGUGUUUUUAUCACGUUUGUACUUUCACUUAAGGAUCUGAGUACUCUUCUUCCACCUCUGUUUAGUUUUGAUAUUUUCAUUAAGAGUCAAAGAAAUAAUUAUGUCAGAUAGUAUAUGGGCAGAAUCAGCAGUUUAUCACAACAGCCGUUUUAGCAGCAAACAAAAAGGUGAAGAAAAUGGUAGAAUAUGUAAAAAUAUGUCUUGUUUUAUGUGGUUAAAGCAGCAAUACUGAGGCAAUUUCUUGGGCACUGUUGCCCAUCAGAGUUGCCCAAAAAAUUGCCUAGUGUAUCACCACCCUAAGUCGUUUUGGUGUAAGUAAAAAAUGAAAAUAAAAAUUGGCUAAAUAUCUUUAUUGUGUGAUUCAGCUUAAAGACCCCAAAAGUCAGAAUGCAUAAAUGUCAAAUCCAGUAUUUAAUGCCAAGACGUCUUUAUUCAGAAACAACAGCAAACAAAUGACUCAGGGGCAAACAGGUGUUAUAAAUGAACAGUAAUGUAGCAAAAAUGCAAUAACACAUUACUCCACACACACACACACACACACAAUGUCAUCAUGAAUGAAUAUGAUGAAAUGUGAGUUAUGAUAUUACAAAAAAACGAAUCACAGAGACACAAAUAUCACCUGUGGUCAGUGUGUCAGGAUUGCUUUGCAGUCUUCCUCUAUACAGUCCAGGCAGGCUGGAGCCCGGUGUGUGUGUGUGUGUGUGUGUGUGUGUGUGCAAGCGCUUUGAGCUGUCAUGCGGAGAGGAUGAUGAAAUGGCUGUCUGCCUGGUGGAAUACCUCUGCAGCCCCAUUUUCCCAUGCCCUAUGCCUCUUUAAAGUUACAUCUGAAAGAGGUAUAUGCAUAGGAAAAAGGAACAGCGAGUGCAAAGAGCCCUGCUGUCCUGUCGCCGCACGCUGGAGCCUGGAGGGCAGGGAUGAGAAAAGCUGGUCAGAUAGAAGUAGUAACUCAGAUAUUCUUUCACUAUCUGACAUCUUGAGGCAGCAGGCUUUUGCUGUUAAAUAUGAAAAUGAAACAAAAUGCAUAUUCUAUCCAAAAAAUCCCCAGUAAAGUGUUUGGACAACAUUUUCUUAGUUUCCAACAAUUUAAAACAAAGUUAAACGAAUUAGUGUAUUAAUUUAAUUAGGCGUGAAGAGGACUUACCCCACAAAGCUCCAGAUGAGUCUCUCCUGGGAACACACCUCCUCUUGGCCAUUUAUCCCUCCACAGGGACCUUGAAGAUGUUUGAGAAAGACAAAGUUGCUGUUGUCUGCGCUCACUCAGCACUUAUCCUCCCCUCUUGAUUUCAAGCCAUUGCGACACACCUGUGGAUAACACUGAUGCCUCUGGAGAAAAAAUACUACACCGCACUGAUACACAUAGCUUGGAUGCCCGUGCAAAGUUCAUUGUCUGUUAUGCCUGAAUCACUCUAGUUAACAGUGAACUUGUUGCAGUUAUUAUCUCCUAUCUGGCACCCGCUGUAGACGUCAGAAGCAGAGCGUGGAAGAGGGGAAACGUUCAGGACGGCUCGUUCCUGCCGUCGUUUCUUAUCUGUUCAGGGUUUUUUUUUUUUUUUGCUCCCUUUUUCUCUCCCAGAAGAGAGGCCCCCAUGCUUUUUAGCACUCAAGGUCUCUAGACAAGGACUCUCAGGGUGUGCAGAAGUGAGACACAAACACACACACACACACACACACAUGCCGUGUAGUGUGUAGUUCGUAGUGUGGGGAGUGUUAUGGCAUGUCAAGGCCAGUGCAACCAGUCGAAGAUGAAACUGUGCUCUUUCCUCUGAACCUCUGAGUUUGCACUGGUAAGAGCAGCAGUCAUAUAUCAAAGUGUUUUGUAAAGAGAGAUCUAUCUUAGAUGAUCAUGUUGGCCCAGCUGAGGUCAUCUCACACCCCACUGUAACUGAUGAUGAGCACCACAAGGAGAGUUACAUGAUAUUCACAUCUUUACAAGCUUGUUAUAGAUCUGGUUGUUGAGUUUUGGUGAAUACAAACAUGUUUUACUUUACCAUCACAGAUGCUAAAUCACAUAUUAACAUAACAUAAAAGUGCGCUGCCCCACUCAUCAUCUGUCUGUAGGAGGCUGAUGUGCUCUGUAUUGACAGGAUUCAUCUGUGUUGUAGUGUUAAAUCCAUUAAAAGCAAGCUUUUAUGCAAAUUCAUGGAGAAAUAGUUUGAAAAUGUAUCCUAUCAAAACGAAAAACGAAAUUAUAAGCAUAUAUGCAUAUUAAAGUAUGGCCAUGAA